GGAAACGGAUAAACGCGAGUCACCGCAUCCCCAGGAACCAACACCUCGAAUUUACUACACCUAAAGGCCCCAGGAAUAGACUUCUGCCGCUCACGUGGCAAACAUGGUCCACGAUUCUUCUUAACGGCCGCAUAUGAUUUUACCAUUCUCAAAGACUCUGGAAUACGUGUCCCAGGCAAAGGUGGAUACUCUGCUGAACGAAGGACGAGGUCGAGGAUAAGGAAGAUUCGCAAGAGCAGCAAUGAUCCAAUCAAGCAGGUCAACCAACCGUAGUGACGCUGAAUGAAACUAUCUCGACGUCAAACCGCGUGUGGGUUCAUUAUUAACGAGUUAAUUUUCCAAUGGAAACAUACACAUAAAGAUAUCCCUACCCAGCAUCACUUCAAUCCUGAUGGGUUUGUCUGCCAAUUCGCUC